rnacentral:rRNA from 1 species
UGGGGAAUAUUGCACAAUGGGCGCAAGCCUGAUGCAGCCAUGCCGCGUGUGUGAAGAAGGCCUUCGGGUUGUAAAGCACUUUCAGCGAGGAGGAAGGUGGUGAACUUAAUACGUUCAUCAAUUGACGUUACUCGCAGAAGAAGCACCGGCUAACUCCGUGCCAGCAGCCGCGGUAAUACGGAGGGUGCAAGCGUUAAUCGGAAUUACUGGGCGUAAAGCGCACGCAGGCGGUUUGUUAAGUCAGAUGUGAAAUCCCCGGGCUCAACCUGGGAACUGCAUUUGAAACUGGCAAGCUAGAGUCUCGUAGAGGGGGGUAGAAUUCCAGGUGUAGCGGUGAAAUGCGUAGAGAUCUGGAGGAAUACCGGUGGCGAAGGCGGCCCCCUGGACGAAGACUGACGCUCAGGUGCGAAAGCGUGGGGAGCAAACAGAUUAGAUACCCUGGUAGUCCACGCUGUAAACGAUGUCGAUUUUGGAGGUUGUGCCCCUUNAGGCGUGGNUUCCGGAGCUAACGCGUUAAAUCGACCGCC